rnacentral:lncRNA from 1 species
GCGCUUGUUAUCCACCUUGGGCGUCACGUGGACUACGGCGGCUGAAGCCCGAGGAUAUCCGCUGAAGCCGCGAGCGCGUUAGCUGCCGCUCGGCCGCUUCUCGUCACUCAGUCUUCAGCGACCUGUUCGCCUGGCCGCCAGUCUGCCUGUCGCUCACGCCCGCCGCGCCCGCCUACGUCGCCUCGAUUAUGAGUAAGAUUUGACUCGAGUGAACUCAGACAUGCGCGAUUCGGUGAGUGGUUUCGUAGGCGCAUGAUAUAUACUGUACAGUGAUGUCAAAGAUCGAGAUUAAAGAAGGAAAAAUAAAACAAGGAUAGAGAAAAUAGUGAAAUUGUAGAAGAAAAAUAAAUGGAUUAGAGGAAAAGAGGUGUGAGUCGAUCAUUGUAUUGCUCAAGAUCGCCCUUGAUAAAUUGAGAUAGAGCGUCUUAGCGGAAAUAGAAAGAAAGAAAAAAAGAGAAAAUAGAUAGCCCUGUAUUUUUUUUAUGAUAUUUCUUUGUUCAUGCGAGUGCCACCAUUUGUGACUAGGCACAGAAAGAAGUGAGAGGAAAAGAGUGCGGUGCCACAAAGGAUGUUGUCCUUGUUGUUGGAUGUGUAGGGUCAACAAAGAGUGACGACGACGCCAGAGGGAAGAUGGCGGUCAAGGAUACGCGCUUCGUGUUCUACCGGCCCAUCAGAGUGCCGAACUACAGGGCCAGUCUCUAUAGCAGGUGAGUGUUGGCGAGAGAACAUGUCGUUCACUGUAGUUGUUCACGCAAGGAAUCCCAGGUGCCCAAGGUAGGUGUUUUUGUUUCGUUUGAACACGUAACCUAAGUUGAACAACGGUUCGAGCGAGAUUUUUUGUCUUACAGUGAACAGGUAAUCGUAGUUAUAUAUACGCGAACAUUUCGAGGUCGCUCAAAAACCCGGAUGAGAUGAUUUGAAGUGCUGACCAAGGAAGAGGAGCAAGGCGGGAAGAAAGGAAGAGAGAAGAAAAUAAGAUGCUUUUUUUGACGAGAUAUUAUCUUAAGCACCCGUAAUUUGCAUAAUAAAGGUAGAAUGGGUCCCCCCCUAAAAACGCUGUAAAGAAGAAAAAAAGUCAGGAUUGAACAGAGGAUGAAGGUCAUGCGACAGGAAAGACGAGAAGGAAGAGAAAGAAAGAAAGAAAAGAAUAAUGUCCCUGUGAGGGGUGGGAGGGGAUUUCCGGGCCCGUCUUGCAGGUAGGCCUAUCCGGAACCCUUUCUUGUGCCAGGUAGAUCUAUGUCCUUUUCUUGUUUCUUUUCCUGUCCUCUGUUGAAUU